rnacentral:tRNA from 1 species
UGAUGUGGCUCAGUGAUAGAGCACUUGCCAGGCAUGUGUGAGGUCCUGGGCUCAAUCCCCAGCACUGCAA